AUUGAACGCUGGCGGCAGGCCUAACACAUGCAAGUCGAACGAGUGGCGGACGGGUGAGUAAUGUCUGGGAAAGUGCCUGAUGGAGGGGGCUAACUAGUGGAAACGGUAGCUACUACCGCAUACCAUCAGAUGUGCCAAGGGUGGUCUAGCUAGUUGGUGGGGUAACGGCUCACAAAGGCGACGAUCCCGACCUGGUCUGAGAGGAUGACAGGCCACACUGGAACUGAGACACGGUCCAGACUCCUACGGGAGGCAGCAGUGGGGAAUAUUGCGCAAUGGGCGCAAGCCUGAUGGAGCCACGCCGCGUGUAUGAAGAAGGCCUUCGGUUUGUAAAGUACUUUCAGCGGGGAGGCGUUACCCGCAGAAGAAGCACCGGCUAACUCCGUGCCAGCAGCCGCGGUAAUAC
rnacentral:rRNA from 1 species